rnacentral:rRNA from 1 species
UACGUAGGUGACCAGCGUUGUCCGGAUUUACUGGGCGUAAAGAGCGCGCAGGCGGUCGUUCAAGUCGAGUGUGAAAGCCCCCGGCUCAACUGGGGAGGGUCACUCGAUACUGAUCGACUUGAAGGCAGGAGAGGGGAAGCGGAAUUCCCGGUGUAGUGGUGAAAUGCGUAGAUAUCGGGAGGAACACCAGUGGCGAAGGCGGCUUCCUGGCCUGUUCUUGACGCUGAGGCGCGAAAGCUAAGGGGGAGCAAACGGGG